UACGUAGGUCCCGAACGUUGUCCGGAUUUAUUGGGCGUAAAGCGAGCGCAGGUGGUUUAUUAAGUCUGGUGUAAAAGGCAGUGACUCAACCAUUGUAUGCAUUGGAAACUGGUAGACUUGAGUGCAGGAGAGGAGAGUGGAAUUCCAUGUGUAGCGGUGAAAUGCGUAGAUAUAUGGAGGAACACCGGUGGCGAAAGCGGCUCUCUGGCCUGUAACUGACACUGAGGCUCGAAGGCGUGGGGAGCAAACAGG
rnacentral:rRNA from 1 species